UUACGCGUAAUAUAUCUAAAUGCUCACUCAAAAAAAGAUGGACUUCAGGAAUAUGAUGCAACACAUACAAGUGUGCUAGUAGAAGACUGUCUCGAGGAGGUGUGAUCAAUUUGGAGUCAAUUGUUCUUUUUCUCUCAAGCCUUCCUUCAUAUCGAGAGGUGGGAAGUCCAAUAGGCUUUGCCAUGGCUACAUACUCGGCUAUAAAGUUACUAAUCUCAUCACUCACAGUGCCUCGAAUCAUACUCCCCUUGAGUUGUGCUGAAUUCCUCACCUUGUUUGGUAAAAGACCCAUGUGUCUUUCAAGAGGAUAACACCACCUUGGCUACUCAAUUUUGCAAAGGUUUUUGAAUGAAGGGGUUGAAAUUUAGGUUUUAUUAAUGUUUUUUUUAUCAAUAUAUUAUAUGUUGUAGUCUUAAUUUAAAGGAGCACAAAAAAUUUGAAGGUUAAUGUUGAUAAAUUAACAUAUCUGUUUAUUGCAAAAUUACCAACUUAUUGAUAAUGGAGGUGGGAAAUUUUGACUAGGUUUGGUGUAAAUAGUGUCUUUUAAGAUGGAUUUGGGUGAUUUCAGAACAAUUUUAGGUAAGUCUGGGGUGGAUAUAAUGGAUUUUAUAAAAACUGCGAUUAAGGUAGCAUCGUUGGAUUAUGGUGAUAAGCUUGCAUUAAAAAGUGAUAAAGCGAUGGAAUUGUUUCAAAUUUAUAAAUGAAUUGUCAUAGUUGUAAUAGAAACUGUAAUGUGUUAUUGGGUUUGCCACUGAUUUUGUUGUUGCUGCUGCUUUAUUGAGAAUGAGAAAUGGUGCGAUGGCAAAGGUUUAUUUAGAAUGAGGAUGAACUUCAGAACAUGUUGAGCAAGAAAAGGUGGGUUGUGGAUAAGGAUGAGGAAGAUGAUGAGCUCAGAAGAAUUGUUUCUAUUAAAGAACAAAUUGAAGAUCCUCAUCAGGAUUAUUUCAAAUUGAGGACGACUCAAAUUGAAUGAAUUUCAACCAAAGUGUCAAAGAGAAUCUGUGUCAAAAUGAUGAACGAAAAACAAACUAUUUACUCCAAGGUCUAAUCAUCCAUACCCAUGUCAUAAAAUCUGAGAUUCUGUUUGAUAAUUGUGUUGCAACAGCUCUUACCCAUAUGUUCAUGAAAUUUGGACAUAUCAAACAUGAAGCACUCGAAUGCCUCUGAUCCAGUAGCCUUGUGGUGCUCAAUUGGCGUCCAACCCAGGUUUCAUCAAGCUGUUGCUUCCCAUUGCUGCUUGUUGUGUUGUUGUUGUCCAAGCGUGGCCUACAGCCGAUUCUUGUGUAAUGUUGCGCUAUAAUAUUACAUGUUGCCUCAACAACUUUGUUUUAUUUAGGGACUUCUUUACUUUCUUGUCUUAAUACAUUGUAUAGGCUACUACCUUUUGCGUUAUGUUGUUUUGUUUCGUGUUUUUGUUUCCUAGGCUUGCUCGAAUUUUAUACUGUAUAAUUUAUUUUCUACAUUAAUAAAGUU